GUGAACCAAGUAAACAGACUGAACGUUGAAAUCCCCACCUAUGAGCGACUCUGAGUCCAGGCCGGUGUUGUUGUCUUCCUCUCUGGUGUCCCACAGAUGCACAGAUGCCGGGGAGGGCUUGUUCUCCUCGCUGUCCUCGCUGUAGAAGCCCGACUCUUGUGAGCUCUCCAGGAAGCCGGGCACGUGCUGGGGGUCAGGGUCACGGUUGGCCAGCGGUAGGAGGUCAGCCUGGUCAUCAGGGGUGACGGAGGCCGCAGCAUAAGAAGAGGAGGAGGAGGAGGAGAGGGUGCGGUAGGGGUGGGGGAGGUCAGGGAGGAGUUGGUGACUGGAGGUCUCCCUUAGGCUGCCUGAUCGCACCAGCAGCAGCAGGAGCAGAGAGCCUAGGAGACAGAGAGAAAAAGGAGGAGAGAGAUACAAAAGAGAGGGAAGAAGUGAGGAGACGGGUGAGAAAGAAGAAGAGAUAGAGAAGAGAGGAGGAUAACAGAGGAGUCACUGACUGCAGUAAAGCAUUGUGGGAGCAGGAAUGAGCACCUGAGGUCCAUGGGUCCAGGUCCAUGUUACAGUAAUGGGGCAGACAGGACACCAAACAUUCAAAAGGGACACAGGGCUUUUGAGAAUUAAAACUAAUGUUCUGAUUCUUAACUUUCUGAUCAUUCUUAACUUGCAUAUGUCUUAUUUUACUCCUCUAUCAAGCAUCUCCUUUACAUCACACGUUCUUAAACAGAAAGAAUACAUCAGAAUUAAGAUGGAGAAAUUGGGAAGGUCAUACAUUCCCAGUAGAAGUCUUAGUCAGAGAGCUGCUCACGGUGAGCUUCAGCAGGAAGUAUGGCUUAGACAGAUGGGUGUAGGAUAAGCCCUUCCUACCAGGCAAUGAGUCUAACCUGCUCAAAGACGUCUGACCCCCCUAGUCUGCGCCCCCUCCCCGUCUCAGUCACAGAUGGCUGAAUCAGACCAGCUUAAUUUCCCCAAACAUUAGGGGGUCCGUCUGGAAUAAUCUCCAGCCGCCACACACAAAUUAGUUCAAUUCUUUCUAAAAAUCAAGAAAGAUUCAUGUUAACAUUACAUACUUAAAUAUCAUAUGCAUAAAUCUCCUGCCUUCUCUGUCUCAUAGAUAGAGAUGCUUCUUCAAACAGAGACAGUCAAACAGCCAACUCCUCUUUGGCAGCAGGUUUCUGUUGAGUCACUGGGUUCUCUCAAUGAGGCCAAUGAAGAUGCUACUGCCAG
ensembl:lncRNA